UAUUAUGGCCAUAUCAUUUUGAAAGCACUAGUACUCAUUUGAUCACCGAAGUUAAGCAAUGUCAGUCUAGUGAGUACUUAGAUGGGUGACCACUUGGAAAACCUAAGUGCUGUAGGCA
rnacentral:rRNA from 1 species